rnacentral:misc_RNA from 1 species
AAUAAAUAAACAAACAAAUAAAAAGCCACCAGGAUUAAAUCAAGGCAAUUUUACACCACUACUGAAACAUUAUUGACAAGUUUAGCAAAAUCCAUCCUCGUGAUUCAGUGUAGCAAGAAAGCCAACAAUUCUGUGAUAGUGUAGUACAAAGGAUGAAUUCAAUGACACAUAAAUUGGUGUCACAUUGCGAAAAUUAGAGAACCUUAUGCACUGAAUUAAACCUAGCAAAUAUUUUACCAAUGCAUUGUGCAAGAAUAGCCCCUGGGGUUCAAUCAGAAUGAAAAAAUAGGCAGCCAGCUAAACCAAGAAUAUAGUGACUUAUUGCAGCCACUGCAAGUGAAUGAACCUUAAGUGAUACACAAGCACUCACGAAAUAAAUGCCAUUCUGUGUACAUGCAUGCCCAUGCACACAGAGACUACUAAGAUUUCCAUUUACCAAAUAUAGCCUUUUAACAAACAUAUACAGAUUCAUCGCGCCAAAUGCCAGAGAUCAAGAAACAUCAU